UACACUCCUACGGGAGGCAGCAGUGGGGAAUAUUGGACAAUGGGCGAAAGCCUGAUCCAGCAAUGCCGCGUGAGUGAUGAAGGCCUUAGGGUUGUAAAGCUCUUUUACCCGGGAUGAUAAUGACAGUACCGGGAGAAUAAGCCCCGGCUAACUCCGUGCCAGCAGCCGCGGUAAUACGGAGGGGGCUAGCGUUGUUCGGAAUUACUGGGCGUAAAGCGCGCGUAGGCGGCUUUGUAAGUUAGAGGUGAAAGCCCGGAGCUCAACUUCGGAAUUGCCUUUAAGACUGCAUCGCUAGAAUCGUGGAGAGGUGAGUGGAAUUCCGAGUGUAGAGGUGAAAUUCGUAGAUAUUCGGAAGAACACCAGUGGCGAAGGCGACUCACUGGACACGUAUUGACGCUGAGGUGCGAAAGCGUGGGGAGCAAACAGGAUUAGAUACCCGUGUAGUCCC
rnacentral:rRNA from 1 species